rnacentral:rRNA from 1 species
GGCGAACGCUGGCGGCGUGCUUAACACAUGCAAGUCGAACGGUAAGGCCCUUCGGGGUACACGAGUGGCGAACGGGUGAGUAACACGUGGGUGAUCUGCCCUGCACUUCGGGAUAAGCCUGGGAAACUGGGUCUAAUACCGGGUAGGACCACUGCCUGCAUGGGUGGUGGUGGAAAGCUUUUGCGGUGUGGGAUGGGCCCGCGGCCUAUCAGCUUGUUGGUGGGGUGAUGGCCUACCAAGGCGACGACGGGUAGCCGGCCUGAGAGGGUGACCGGCCACACUGGGACUGAGAUACGGCCCAGACUCCUACGGGAGGCAGCAGUGGGGAAUAUUGCACAAUGGGCGCAAGCCUGAUGCAGCGACGCCGCGUGAGGGAUGACGGCCUUCGGGUUGUAAACCUCUUUCAGCACCGACGAAGCGCAAGUGACGGUAGGUGCAGAAGAAGGACCGGCCAACUACGUGCCAGCCGCCGCGGUAA